rnacentral:rRNA from 1 species
GAGUUUGAUCAUGGCUCAGAACGAACGCUGGCGGCAGGCUUAACACAUGCAAGUCGAACGCCCCGCAAGGGGAGUGGCAGACGGGUGAGUAACGCGUGGGAACGUGCCCAAAGGUACGGAACAACUCCGGGAAACUGGAGCUAAUACCGUAUGUGUCCGUAAGGAGAAAGAUUUAUCGCCUUUGGAUCGGCCCGCGUUGGAUUAGCUAGUUGGUGGGGUAAAAGCCUACCAAGGCGACGAUCCAUAGCUGUUCUGAGAGGAAGAUCAGCCACACUGGGACUGAGACACGGCCCAGACUCCUACGGGAGGCAGCAGUGGGGAAUCUUGGACAAUGGGCGCAAGCCUGAUCCAGCCAUGCCGCGUGAGUGAUGAAGGCCUUAGGGUUGUAAAACUCUUUCGCCGAGGACGAUAAUGACGGUACUCGGAGAAGAAGCUCCGGCUAACUUCGUGCCAGCCGCCGCCGUAAC